rnacentral:rRNA from 1 species
AGAGCGAACGCUGGCGGCAGGCCUAACACAUGCAAGUCGAACGGACUCUUCGGAGUUAGUGGCGGACGGGUGAGUAACACGUGGGAACGUGCCUUUAGGUUCGGAAUAGCUCCUGGAAACGGGUGGUAAUGCCGAAUGUGCCCUUCGGGGGAAAGAUUUAUCGCCUUUAGAGCGGCCCGCGUCUGAUUAGCUUGUUGGUGGGGUAAUGGCCC